rnacentral:rRNA from 1 species
CCUAAACUUAGAUAUUCAACAUACAAGAAUAUCCGCCAGAGAACUACGAGCAAAAUGCUUAAAACUCAAAGGACUUGGCGGUACCUCAAACCCCCCUAGAGGAGCCUGUUCUAUAAUCGAUAAUCCACGAUACACCUCACCAUCUCUUGCCAAUUCCGCCUAUAUACCACCGUCACCAGCUUACCCCAUGAGGGAUUUAAAAGUAAGCAAGACAACUAAAAACAGUUAAUAAGUCAGGUCAAGGUGUAGCUAACUGAGAUGGAAGAAAUGGGCUACAUUUUCUACACUAGAAAUCAAUUUACGGAAGGAAACUAUGAAACUAGUCCUACAAGUAGGAUUUAGCAGUAAACCUGGAUCAGAACGCCUAAUUU